UGUAUUGGACAAUAUGGUAGUUGUAAGUGGAUACGGCCCCAUGCUUUGAAGAUCCAGAAACAUUGAGUGCAGCUUCUUCAAAUCACUGUGUAUGCUUUUCUGCCAUUGUUCAUUUUGAUUUUAAAAGAAAACUUUCAUCAUUUGCAAUCUUAGAAUAUUUUGCAACUUGUUUAGAGGAACUUGGUAUCAAGAAUGCACCAAACAUGGCUCCUUAGGUUAGACAGAUUCUUGUGUAGUUUGUUUGGGGAGCUGCGUUAUCAACACUUCAAGCUCGAGAAAGGGUUCUUGAAAAUGGUGAGAAGUGGGAUCUUGAAAAACUGAGUAGAGAAAGAGAAACUUGGAAGGCAACAACAAGAACAAA